rnacentral:rRNA from 1 species
AGUGAACGCUGGCGGUAGGCCUGACACAUGCAAGUCGAACGGCAGCACAGUAAGAGCUUGCUCUUACGGGUGGCGAGUGGCGGACGGGUGAGGAAUACAUCGGAAUCUACUUUUUCGUGGGGGAUAACGUAGGGAAACUUACGCUAAUACCGCAUACGACCUACGGGUGAAAGCAGGGGAUCUUCGGACCUUGCGCGAUUGAAUGAGCCGAUGUCGGAUUAGCUAGUUGGCGGGGUAAAGGCCCACCAAGGCGACGAUCCGUAGCUGGUCUGAGAGGAUGAUCAGCCACACUGGAACUGAGACACGGUCCAGACUCCUACGGGAGGCAGCAGUGGGGAAUAUUGGACAAUGGGCGCAAGCCUGAUCCAGCUAUACCGCGUGGGUGAAGAAGGCCUUCGGGUUGUAAAGCCCUUUUGUUGGGAAAGAAAAGCAGCAGGUUAAUACCCCGCUGUUCUGACGGUACCCAAAGAAUAAGCACCGGCUAACUUCGUG